rnacentral:lncRNA from 1 species
ACAGUGAAACGAGCUUGCAUGAGAGCAUCCCAGGACCACUGAACAUUCAGAGGUCUAUUUCUGGCAUCUCUUUCCACAGCACAGGCAGCCUUGCAGAAUGAAAAGUAUUUCUCCCACCUGCCCUGGCCUCUGCCCUGGCUCUGAAAGAGGCAGGCUGUGAAUGAUGGUUGUCAGUGUCUGGAGUUUUCACUGAAAAACAGUCCCCUGAAAUGGAAAGACACACAGAGGGGAGUGAUCUCAUCGCCACUGAUUUUUCCCAACUUUCAGUUUUGUAUCUCCAUGGUGGAACUCGAUACAGCAGCAUCCCUCAGUGGUUCCAGCCCAGAAGUGCAAGGGGAAGCCGGCUGCCUGUUCAUGAAUUCUGUAGCUCAAAAAGCAGAGGCCGAGAAAGCAAAAUUUCAAACCUUUGUCAGAAAGGGUGAGACCUUGCUCAGCACGAUAGCUGAGAACAGCUUCCUCCUUCAAUGCUGGUCUCUCUAUACUGACAGUUGACAGCUGAUGAUCCCACAUUCUCAGUCAUGCGAAUGACCUCACCUGAGCACCAGUUUGUAACGGAUGUUUAAGAGGAAAGCAAGGGAAUUAAAUGCUGCACAGGAAUUUGGCACUUCUGUAUAGAAAUAGAAAAACUAAAUGAAACUUAUAGUACCUUCCACUCAACUAAGAUUCUUGUGAAGCAAAGUAUAUCUGGGAAAAUAUAGUAAUAUGGUUAUUUUGUGUUCAUAGUGUGUGACUCUACUUAUAAGCACUUUUUAAUCAUUAUAAUCAAUCACUUUAAAGAUCUUAGAGGGAACUUAUUAAUCAAAAUUUAAGCCUUCUUUAAAAAAAAAAAACUUCCCAUAUACUAAUUUUGCACAGAAGCAAAAGAUUAGAUUGGGAUUCUGCCUGUUGUGGAGAGACAAAGACAAGAGUGCUCCAGAUUUCUGUGUUUGUGUUUUUACUUCAUACUUUCAAUGCGUCCGCAAGAAUAGACUUGUGUUUCUCUUCUUAAUACACAAUGGUUAGAGCUCACAGAAUGUAAGUAAGAGAUUCUUUGAAUUGCACAAUAAGCCAAGGAACUUUCCCAGCUACCGGGAGGCUGAGGUGGGAGGAUUGCUUGACCCCAGUGGGUGGAGAUUGCAGUGAGCAGAGAACACAUCACUGUCACUCUAGCUUGAGUCACAGAGCAGGACCUUGUCUCAAAAAGCAAACAAAAAGCUGGGUGCAGCAGCUCAUGCCUGUAAUCCCAGUGCUUUGGGAGGCUGAUGUGGGAGGAUCACUUCAGACCAGAAGUUCGAGGCCAGCCUGGCCAACAAGGUAAAACCCUGUCUCUACUGAAAAUACAAAAAAUUAGCCAGGUGUAGAGUGGCACAUGUCUGUAAUCCCAGCUACUCAUGAGGCUGAGGCACCAGGAUCACUUGAACUGAGAAGGCAAAGGGUGCAAAGAAACAAACAAACAAAACAC